AGAAACAGAGCUUUCCCCAUAGCAACACCACCUGGGACGAAGUCCUCCUGGGCAUUUUCAAGGAACGGGUAAAGGAAGUGUUACAAAUCAUGGCCUUCUGGACAAUGGAAGGUAUGCCAAUCAAUAAGGAAUCACUGUACAACUCAGAGCAGAAGGUAGUUGCUAUGGCCUGUGUCCUCAAAGCCCCAUGCUGGCUACUAAUUAAGAUGUAAGGACUGUACUGCAGGACACUCGUAGGGGAAGAGUGAACAACCAGGAGGCUGGUAGAGUAGCCCAAGGUAGAGUAAGAGUAAUGGUCACUUGCCAAUGUCCAAUUUGAAGGACUUUCCCAUGAGGAUCAUAUUGUGUGAGAAAUUCAAGGUGGCACCAAGGUGCUCUUGACCCCGCACUUGUUAUUAAUUCUCUGACCGUAUGCUCAUUCAUUCAUUCAUUCAUUCUCUUUUCCACCAAAAAAAAUAAUGUCCAGGAGAACAGAUCUGUUUUGAUCUGAGCAAGUCAAUGGAAAAUGUUAUCAUUAAUGAUGGUAUCUGCACUGAUACCAGCAUCCAACUUUAUACACUGAAAAAGAGGCCAGAACUGUGUUUUAUAGCUCUGCCCCAGAGCAGCAUAGCCAUUUUCUUCUCCACAGCAGCUGUGGUUUCUUAGAAGAGACCCUCAAGGUAGGGCCUGUUGACCACUGAUGUCUACUGAUAGGAGGAGGGUGGGGAGUCACAUGGGCCUGCUGACUACUGAUAUUCACUAACAGAAGGAGCAGGUGGGGGGGUUCCAUAGAACCCCAGUUGAGGUUCUAGACACUCUUUCUGGAAUCUCCUACUUCACAUGAGUCUGCCUUAGUCAUACAUGAGCUCACUGGUUACUCAAGGUGGACUCUGGUGGAAUUGCACUGGGAUUUGUUGUGGGUGCGCUGGGUUGGGUGAGCAGGCCCGUUUGAGUCUCCGCAGGAAAGGACUCAUGCAGCAGGGUACACCAUGCCGAGCUUGCUGGGACCUGCAGCACUGAAGGGCUUCCAGCAGAGCCUUGUGCAGGGCUGGCUACUCACCCACUUGGUAUUCACCACAACAUGCUUCAUCUCAACCCCAACAGCUCACUUAGAGGCCCCACGUACACAGCCCUAGGUCCUCAAGGACAAUCUUCUCUAAGCUCUGCUGAAACUGAGGGAAAGUAAGCUAGUCUGGCCCACCUGCACCGCAUCCAUUCGGCACACACAAGGCAUAGCAGCUGGUGACCUCCCCGUUCAGGCGCCCUCUUGGCACAAGCUGCUCCUUCUGGCCUGUUUCCCUCCAGCAUUCCAGCUGAACAGCUCUCCAAAUCCUACUCCAUUAACUGCUUCCCACUUUAGGCCUUUCCAGCCAACCAAAAUUGUGGCUUUCCACAGAGGCCCUGGCCUCUUACCUCUCACAAACUCCUUGUUCAUCAGAGAAGUUUGUGGACCCUGUAAACACAGUCAAAGAUUAAAUGGUCUUUCCUGCAGAGGUGAAUGGGACUGAGUGAAGGAAGGAGUGGAGCAGCUCUUACUGCCAGCUCACUUCCGGGAUCACAGAUGCACAUGGAGAGGAGACUCAAUUUCUCCCCUUUAAAAAUAAAAUCAUAGCUAGACGAGGUGGUGUACACCAGUAAUACUAGCACUUUGGGGCUGAGGCAGGAGGAUCAUGAGUUGGGGCACAAAGCAAGACCUAUCAUGAACAAAGAAACAAUCCUGUCACAACGGCAACCAGGUAAGCCAAAACAUACAUGAACACACAGCCAGGCUCACACAUGAGCACACAUGGGACCCUCUGGUGUCUAGGACGUCAGUUAUGAGUUGGGUUAGCUAAAAGAAGGAACUCCAUGUAGCAGCUAAUGGUGGCAGCAGUAACAGAGACGGGCUUUGUGAAGUUGUGGAUCUUUGAUGUCUCCUACAUUAUGAGCUGCUAUCAAAGCAGAAAUGGCCUAAUGAAGGAGACCUGGAAGGGGAGGCUUUCCCCGGGAUUGUUGUCUUCCUUGCAAACGGUUUUUAAAGGUCACUUUAAAAAUAGCUCCUAGAGCCACAAAAGCCUGUAAAUAUUUAAAUAACACACUUCGGUUUAUUUUUACAUGGUGUUGUGAAUGCACAUCACAAAAUCCUUCACAGAAAUGUCAGCCAAAGGCUAGAGUCGGCAGAAGGAUGGGAGGAGAGCAAUAACCCAGAAGAGGGUGGGAGACUUUCCGGUCGUGGUACAGUCUGCCUGCUGGAGCGAGAAGGCCACCACGCACCUCAGGAGAGAGACCUAUCAGGAAGACAGCACCAAUGAAGCUUCGAGAAUUUACUGAAGCUAUGUCCCCAGAAAGGCUCCUAGACCUUCAGCGUGACGCUGAAAACGACAGUGUGAAGAGAACUCUGGAGAAAAUGACUGCUUUGCAGUGCCUCCUAAGUUGAGCCCUCACAAGUCCAGAUUUGCAGCUCAUGUUUACACACAGCCUGAGAGAGGAGCCCCAAGUUUCCCAAGAUGAUAGCAAGUGGAAAGUCUACUCUCAGAUGGGUCUGAUUCUCAAACUUCAAGCUCACUUCAAAGAGAAAGAGUUCAAUAGGAAACAUUUAAUAAAUAUCACGGAAUUAAAAGGGAACUGUAAGCAUGUUUCUCAUCAUACUCGGGGUGCAGGGGCUUCCUGAGUACAAGUUCCAAGGGAAAUCCAUGUGAAGAUUUAACUGCAUUAAACUGAAAACCCAACAAGAGAAGCAGACAAAGCUCCCGACACAGCUCAAGGAGGUCCCCUGUGAAGAUGACUUGCAACGCUGCAACGCAGUAACUGAGCAGAAUUCCUCAGGAAACCAAGAAGAAAAGCAAAUCCCUCAAUAGAAAAGAUAGCUCACAGGAAAUAAAGGAAUCAUGACAACUAAUAAGCAUAGAGGAUGUCAUAAAAAUCCAAAGUCUGCUUUUCUCAGUGAGAGGAGAGAUUCAGGGAGGACACGGAACCUGUAAAGUGUUCGGGCUCUUUGGCUCCUGAGUUCUACUUUACAGGAUUUAUCAUGGAGAGAAGAUCAGGACUCUAGUAAUGGGACAGAAGGUUAAACAACUCACAACGAUCUGCGUUUGUAGCCACAAUCAACACAUCACUGGACCUUCUUCAGAGAUGCUUCUCUUUGCGGUAGAAGGUGAUUAAGGUGUGGAGGUGCCGAGAGUAAGAGGCUGAAGAUGCUCAACCGGAAAUGGAACACAGAGCAGGCAGCUGCUCUUCCCAAGGCUCAGGGCUCAUGGCAGAAGAGGGAGCAGAGGGCCUGGGAGAGCCGCACAGCAGAGCAGAUGCACAGGCACACUCAGGUCACGGUAACGGCAAACUCAAGGCCACUGCAAGCCCAAGCCGCCAACCCCAGCAAGAAGGGAAGUGGCAUUAAGUAUCACAAUGGAACCAUGGGUGACUGUUAGCUUCUGGAAGAAAGAGAGCCGGUUUUCUGGGUAAAUGUAGCCCCUGGUAACUUGGCCACACUUCAGCACAUCAUGCACCCAAGAAUGUUGGAGCAUAACACAUCGGUGUUGGAUUAAAACUAGAAAACAGACAGAAGUUAGGUGCGCAAAGAAGGGACUAUGAUAAAAACAUCUGUGAAAUUUUCAGAAAGAAAGGGAGGGAGGGAGGGCAGACGGAGAGAGAGAGGAAAGAAAUCAGAUUUAAUUACUAAGAGACAACCAGACCCUCUUUACAAGGAACCACAUCUGCACUGCCCUAGUAUCCUUAACACAAAAGUUAGGAAGACCUGGGACAUGGCCCAAUGAAUGAAGUGCUUUUUCUGCAAGCCUGAAGACCAGAGUUCAGAUCUCUAACACAUACCUAGGUGCCUAGUGGGCUCCGGAGCCUGUCUGUCAUCUCAAGGCUCAAGAAGCAGAGACAAGAGUCAAGCUAGGGCGCGCCAGGGCCCUUGGUGAACCCUGCCUCAGGAUAUAAAGCCAAGAAAGACUGAAGAAGACACUAAUACUGUUCUCAACCUCUGGCCUCCACUUGGAUGGCCUAUGCUUAAGUGAACAUGACCCCUACACACACACACUCACAUACACAGCAAAACAACAACAAUAACAAGACAAACCUUAGAAACAAAAUGUACACUACUGGGAAAUAUAACCUGUUGAAUAAAUGAAUACCAGAUUCUGUGAGUAGACUGUCGCAAACACCCAGAAGAUGCUCCUUCCAAUCUUUUUAAACCUCUCCAAAGUAGGGGAUGCAAGAUCUUGUCACAGCUGUCUAUCUCAGACCACUAAUUGUGACAAUACACUGAGAUGCUAAAGCGGUGCUUCUCAGACUUUACCAGCACCUCAGGCUUCUGGGAAGAUGCCUAAUGGCCCAUCCUUGGAGGCUCAGAUGCAGCUGGACCACACACUGCUCACUUGAAGCCCUCUUCAUGGACUCUAAUGUUGCAUCAGAUGUAAAGCCGCUGGUCUGGAUCAGCUCCUGCCGGGCCAUGUAAUUUAACUUCCCAUUGCGUCCUUUGGGGGGUAGAAGCAGUGCUCCUUAUCACAUCCUGUGCUCGGUUACGGAGCUCACUGUCUGAGUUCACAAAGACCGUGUAAUGCAGAUGAGCGUACACACUUAAACAGCACCCAGUCAUUAAGGGUUUCUCACCCCGAAAAUGCUAAAUCUAUAGAAAGGAAGAGAGCUACAGCAGCGCCUCGAGGGAAAUACAGCUGCAGACCAUACAAGCUAGUCCAGGCUUUUGUAAAAGAAACUCAUUCUUUUCUGGCUUAACAUUUGUGUGGAAUGAUGACGUUCACAUCAAGGUCCAAGACUAUAAUGUUACACUGCAGGUUUACACUCCUAUUCUAGCAUCUUCUAGCUGUCUCACCUUCAGCACCUUACCAAAAUCUCAGUGGGCCCCUUGCUAUAAAUGGGGAAAAUGAUAACAUUGGCCCUGGGACUGGGUGAGGAGCUAAACCCUGGUACAGUGAAUCCAGUGCUAUUACUUUAGAUACAUCAAGUGCUUUUAUAAAGAUGUAUUUCUCUUUCCCCAUUAAGAAGAUACAAGUUUUGGCCUGAGGAGAUGGUUCAGUUAAGUAAAAUGCUUACCUUGUAUGAAUGAGGACCUAUUUUUGAUGCCUAGAGCCUACAAACAAACAAACAAACAAACAAACAAACACAAGACAAAAUAAAAAAUCCAGAAGGAUCCCUGGGGCUCAAUGUCCAAACAGAUGUGCCUCUUCAGCAAGCUUCUAGUCCCAGUGAGAAGUCCAGUUUCAAGAAACAAGAUGGAUGCUUCCUGGAGUGGCUUAUAAACCACUCCACACUGUGCACCUCUAUACACACACACAUGCACACACAGGAUCACAUACAUAUGCACAUAUAUACAUGCACAUGCACACAUACAAACAUACACACACAUGCACACACAUGAACAUGUACACACACGUGCACACACAGGAACACUCAUAUGCACAUAUAUACACACACAUGCACACACUCAAACAUAUAUACAUGCACACACAUAUUCACACACACACACACACACACACACACACACACACACACACACACACACACACACGUCCCAAGUAGGUUUCACUUCUGUAGAGAUAACCCAUUCCUAGAUACUGCGUAAGUCAAACAGCUCUACUGGAGGCCAGGUUUCGCCUUCUCCUUUGCUUUAAGCACUGAGAACAGGAAUCCGGGAGGAACAAAAAGCUGACAGUCACAGCGUGGUUUAUGGAGAGGAGCACAGACGCCAGCAAAUUAAGUAAGCACUUCCAUUUGUGCCCGAAACAGAAUCGUGCAAAUGAGUCAAGGUGCUGGGCAGGGCAAGAAUGCUGGAAGGGCCUGGAAGCAGCAGCAAUGUGACUAAGCCUGUCUGGGGUUUAUCCUACCACUGACAUCACAGCACACUGCAGUCCUGCUGGGGACCGCCUGCGUGGGGACAUGGCCUUGAAGCGCUGAGGAAGCUCACCUUCCUGCAUCCUUUUCUCUGAGACUGACUUACUACUUGCAGGUCUAAGAUUCAGGAGAGAAGCCCCACCUCAAAGCCCACUCAGAGCAAGACAGUAUCAUCAUGCUUCAUUUAGUAAAGGGGCAUUGUGGUUCUUUUCAAAGGGAAGCUCAUGGAGCUCCAAGCUGAACAGCCAACCCUUCCUUCCAAAGAGCUCCCAAAGAGCUCCGGCCCUCACCAAGUAACUCCUGAUACUGAGCAAGUAGUCUGUCCUGUCCACCUGACUGUGAGGGGGCCCACUAAGGCUCACACACACGUUAGGACUGAAGACUUCUCUUCACAAGGGAAAGACCUUAACGAGAAGGUCUAAGUGCAACGACUUAGGAUGAGCUAGAAAAGCUCUAUCGUAUUGGAUUCUUGCUUCAAGCUCCUAGUCUUUUCUUCCCUAUCUCUUCACUUGCCCUUUAUUUUCUUUUUCAUAGGCUGACUUCCACAUGGAGAUAUGGAACAAUAGGGAGACACUACACAAUGCCUUCAAAUGCCAUCAAGACCCCCCAGUACACAUUUCCUCAACUUCUCGCUCCUUCCUGACUACAGCUGUUGUGGUUGCUAACUUCAUAACUGCACAGAGGAGCUCCGGAGUCCCAUUUUGCUAAACCUAAUAAUGCACAAACGAAUGGCAGCCUCUUCUCUCCACUGGGAGAGGGAGAGAGGCCGAGGAGGAGCUUCCUCCUGAAGCAGUGUGGUGAGAAACAUCCUACUCUUGCCUUUGCGGCCCUGGGAUUCCAGCUGUGUCAUUUGGAACCUAAUUGUGAGUGGACCUUUAGGUGACCAUCUAUGUCUUCUGCAAUAGUCGGUUUGACGUGAUUUGGGGAGUCUUGGCCACACCUGUGCUUGCCUCAAGCUUUUGGGCUCUGCCCAGGCCUAUUAAUGUGCAGCAGGCAGGGCUACAGUCCUUCCUCUCGCUGCUUGUUCUGAAGCCUUCACCGGUCACUUUGUGUUUAUUUUUUAUCCUGGUUUCCACCUCGGCUCUUGGUCUGAUAUUUAACACUGUCCUCGCAUAUUAUUGUGUUUGAGGGUUUCAGCUGCACAUAUGUGCAUGCACCAUGUUCGUGUUUGGUUCCCAUGGAGGUUCGAUGAAGGCACAGGCAACUGGAGUUAGGGAAGCUUGUGAAUGACAAUGUGGGUGCUUGGAAUUGAACUCAGGUCCUCUCAAAAGCAGUAAGCACUCCUAACCACUGAGCCACCGUUCCAGUCCACGUUAUAAGCUCCUACAGGGCAGAGAAUAUAGAGAUUGCAGGUCUUUAAUGUUUCCAUGGACAAAGGUAAGGGCAUACUAAGUCUUAAACUUGUUAGAUGAAUUUUUGGAAAACAGUGUUUAAUCAGAAUAUUUAUAGAAACUUAAGUAUGUUACAAAUACACCACAAAUAGAAAAAUAAUAAUUUCCCUCAAAUAUUAUUUCAGCAUUUUUUACAACAACGGAUUUUUACUGCUUUGAAAAGGAAUAAGUGUUCCACAAAUAGUGUCAGAGCGCAUUAAAACACAGAGCGCCACUCUGCUUCCCACAGUAGCACCCAAGAACGUCACAGACAAACACAGAGAGAGAAUGUUACCCCAAACGGCCACGUACAAACAAGCUAAGGUUAUGGAUGUGGAGUUGGAGCUUAAAGGUCAAUGUCUGUGAAAGAAUAAGAUGUUUGCACCUAAAACCACGGGCCAUUUUUAGCCAACACAAAUCAGCAGUGGUUGCCUGGACCUAAGUGCUGUAGUAGCAGGAUGUGUGAAGUGGGGUGCCAGAGGUGAGGGACUGGGAGCCUGUGGCUCCGAGCUGCAGAGCUCGACUUUGGCUACUGUCUGGACUUCUGUCAGCUGAGCUGCCUCUAAGGUGCGACUCAAGCAGCAGGAGGGGUGGGGAGCCAAGGAAGGAGUAAAGGCCAACAAGGUGUGAGGAAGCUGGUGUCCAAGACUGAGGAGGAAGUGAGCCUUAGCUUCUGGGAUUAGGGAUUAGGAUCUCAAAAUGAGCCUUUACUUUAUUUGGUGGAAAAACUCAUUAAGUCUCCAUUAGAGUUCAGUUUCAUUUGGAGCCAGACAGAAAAAUAACAAUGCUUACUGGCUCUUAUUAAGUUUAACUAAUCAUUUAAAAAGAAAAACCUUCAAAUUUCCCACCAGUAAGUAUUUACAGGCCCUAUUAGUGGUCCUUAGAAAUUAAUCAAAUUAUUUUUAGGUUUUUCUGUUUGAGUUUUGUUUUUAAGAUUUUUUUCUUUAAUUUUAAAAUGAAAUGAGUUCACAGCUAUAACAGGAAAGACCUGGAAUACGCAUGGGACUGGGAGAGUGCAUCACUGGAUGGCUUCUGAGUGCAAAAAAGAAUGUUGCCACAAAACAGGUGUUGCACCAUCUGAAUGCUGGAAACAAGAACACAUAAUUUUGAAGGGGAAAAAAGUAUCUACACUUGGCUAGAAAGAGCAAAGUUGUGUUAAAAAUAGCUUCUUGUAAUAUUUUGGUCGGUUUCUGGUGUUCCUGCGUGUGUGUGUGGGGGGGUUUUUUUUAGCAAUCAACAUAAUUAUGCAGUGCAACAGGGUAGUGUUUAUGCACAUUCCCAUUUAUACAGUGUGCACAAACAGGGCUGAUGGACACAUGGGGCUGUGGCCACCUCCUUGACCUCUGCCUCCCAGGAAGCCCAUGUGCAGUCUUCAGGCUGGAGUACUGACCUCCAGUUCAGCUCUGUCUGUGCCCAGGGCCCAGUGCUCACUCUGUAAGGAAUACAGUCUGAGCCUCAGAAAACUGUUUCCAUGAAGGAAGUCAACAUGCUAAUGGUUACACACACACACACACACACACACACACACACACACUCUCUCUCUCUCUCUCUCUCUCUCACACACACACACACACAUUCUCUCUCACACACACACACAUUCUCUCUCUCUCUCUUUCUCUCUCUUUCUCUCACACACACACUCUGUCUCUCUGUCUCUUUCCCUUUGUCUGUCUGUCUCUCUUCCCAUUCCCUCCCCCACUCUCUCCAUGUGCUCAUGGCUGGCCAUUCUCUCUCUCUCUCUCUCUCUCUCUCUCUCUCUCUCUCUCUCUCUCUUUCUCUCACACACACACAGACACACACACACACACACACACACACACACACACACACACACACACACACAC